GGGGUAGCGCCUCUUGGGAGUUUGUGCUGUGCGUGGUCCGACAGCGAGAAGGGGUCGCGCUGUGGAAACCUCCCCCUGGACCCCCCGGGAAUGUUGGGAGACGUAGAAACGUCCACGCUGAGAGAAUCGUGGAUGGGCGGCUGGACCGCCUCCUGCAAACCCCCUUCGGAGGAGGAGGAGGAGGAGGAGAAGGAGGAGGAGGAUGGCGGCUGCAACCCGGGCAAGUGCCCCGACCGGAAGUGGGACCGUGACCUCCAGGUGCAUAGGUCAAGGUUCAACCACUGGGCCACACCAGCGGACCCAAGGUCCCCAUUUGAUUUAAUUGGGUUGCAGGAGGAUUCUCUCUCUCUCUCUCUCUCUCUCUCUCUCUCUUUUUUUCUUUUCUUUUUGGUGUGACUCUGCCACACUUGCCGGCAAAGCUGGAAUGGAAUCCCUCACAAUUCCUUGUCCGAACAGCUUGCAACUUUGCAGAUAAAAAUCCAUAAAACGCC